CUUUGCACUAUUUACUCAGGUAACAGCUUCCUCUAACUUGUAAUGAUCAAUGGUUUUGGCUGUAAGCUUCAAGUGAGCUAAUAUGGUGCAAUGCUAUAGUGAGUUCAUGAUAGACUGACUUAUAUAUGUAUGAUCAUUUUCUCAGGGUUUGCAUUGUGGUUCAACAUUGAAGCAUGACAUUUGUUGCACUAGCUUUUGGUUGCUGCACUGAUCCUGCCCCCACCAUUCACUUAAGGUGCCUUAUUAUAGUGCAGAGCUUUUGACUAGGGGUUUAUCCAAGAGUGCAUAGGUUAGGCUUGUGGGCUUCACUGCAGGUUCUACUUUAUUCCUUUUACAGGGGCCAGUUGUACUGAUGUGAAUGGUUCUUCAUGUAUGCCAUUACCUGCUGAUUCAAUUUGUAUUACUUGUGGACCUGUUUUUGUGUGGGUUAGCAAAAACGGAUUGAUGACAAAAAAAGGUUUUGUUUUGUGGUUUGUGAACUACUAUGUGAUGUAGUGUUGUUGCUUAUUGGUGCACAUAAAUGAUGUUAUUUGCUAGAUAGAUAGAUGCAUUGAUUUGGCUUGAACUGUUUUUGGAACUUGGCUUGAUUGUAGGUCUGAGCUGGUAUGCUUCUACCCUCGACUGUGAAGGUGGCUCAAGAUCAAAAAAUGCAUUGUUUCAAGCCAUUGACAUUGUUCCAGAGUAGGCUAGGGUCCCAUGAUGCUGCAGAUAGCUCUGAAGCUGCAGUAUGGUGGCUUGGCUCAUGCUGCUUCAUGGUGUAGCAUGGUCACACCUUAUGCUACCAUUGUGACAUCUGCAUCUGCUGGUUGACCAUAUUGCAGGAUUUGUGGCAUUGAAGCUUACUCAACAGGACUGUUUGCAUUUCCAUUGCAUUGUUGCACCUUGCCAACUAUUGAUACCCUGUACUGCUGGCUUGCAGGCAACUUGGCACUCAUGCAAUUGAUUCAAGGAUCAUGAUGGUGUUUGAAGGGUCAAGUGGUGAUUGAGGCAGAUGGCAUAGCAGGUCUGCAGCCAGCAAGUAAUCACUGUCAUUCUGCAUCACGACUACGACUUUAGGUUCAUGGCCAGUACAUAUAGGAUACGUUGGCUGGUGGAAUGGAUUUAGGAUAUUUAGCUUGGUGCAACUAUUGAAUUUACCUGGUCCUUGGUCCUCUUUUGCAGGUUGGUAUUGUCCAUGAUAAAUAUGCAAACUCCUUCAUGGCCUGAUGGGUUAGAAUGAAUUGCAGCAAAGUGUUACAAAAUCUUACAACAUUUCAUGACAGGAUGGAUGUGAUUCCGUAGGUGAGAUACCACUGUUGUUCGGUUGCAGGUCUACUCGUGGAACACUCCAUGAAUGAGUUCAACAUCAGGUCAUGUCGGUUCCUUGUAUCAUGGCCAUGGUUCAAUUCUGAUUUUCCCUUGUGAUUGAUUUGUGGUUCACUGUUUUGCUAGGUAUGACGAUAGCCCGUUCAAUAAAGUGACAACUGUUGGAUUCACCUGUAAGUGAGAUCCUUGUCCUGAAUGAAGUGCAGGUGCAUCUCCAUGAUUCCUGAGAAGAGCUGAAGAGUUUGCUGCAGAAAGAGGCUAAUUUGGACCUGUUGGAUGUUGCCUCUUAACAUGACCUGAAUUGGAUUCUUUAAUUGCAUGUACUAUUUCUACUUGACAGUGUGCCAACUGGUUUUCCUUGCAGGAUGAUGGCAGGAUGGGUGUCAGUGAGUCUCAGACCAAACUCAUGAGUAUUCUUUCGUUCAAAUGGCUGAUGUAAGUGUAGUAUCAAAUCAUAUGACUGUGAGGCUUGGUUGUGGUGAACGUAAGACCCUGUUAGCAGUGCAGCAUCAUGGUUGGCAAAAUCAAAAGACCAAGUCAUGGCAAGGUACACAUGAAGUUGAAAAUGAGACAAGUUACUUGGACAUGAAGAUACAAAGUCAAACCCAUCAAACAUGACUCUUGGAUGAUGAAUCAAGGGAAAAGAGCUAGAUUAGGCCUUAGAUGGUUAAAAAUGGAUGAGUUGACUUUGGUCAAAGUUGACCAAAAAGUCAACCAUUGACCAAAGUCAACAAUUGGUUAAAGCUUAUUAUUUUUUUGUAUUUUCCUCAAUGCUUGGACAUUUGUGAUGAAUUGUAAAUGAUUGUGAAUGAAUGUGAGAUUUUGACUUGAUCUUGACACUUGAAA